UGGGGAAUCUUGCACAAUGGGGGCAACCCUGAUGCAGCGACGCCGCGUGAGCGAUGAAGCCCUUCGGGGUGUAAAGCUCUUUCGGCCGGAAAGAUAAUGACGGUACCUUCAGAAGAAGCUGCGGCUAACUACGUGCCAGCAGCCGCGGUAAUACGUAGGCAGCAAGCGUUGUUCGGAGUUACUGGGCGUAAAGAGUGUGUAGGCGGUUCUCUAAGUUCCGUGUGAAAUCUCCCGGCUCAACUGGGAGGGUGCGCGGAAAACUGGAGGGCUUGAGUAUGGGAGAGGAAAGCGGAAUUCCUGGUGUAGCGGUGAAAUGCGUAGAUAUCAGGAGGAACACCUGCGGUGUAGACAGCUUUCUGGACCAUCACUGACGCUGAGACACGAAAGCGUGGGUAGCAAAC
rnacentral:rRNA from 1 species